AUUUUGAUAAUAAUAAAUCAAUAUAAGAAACUGGUACAUAUUGAUAUACUGAUACAUAAACAGAGUUAACAACAUGGUACAUUUUGAUAAUACAAAUUGCUAUAUAAUAGGUAAAUAAUUGAUAUAAAUCCAUUUAACAAACUGAUAUCAACCUUCAUUUUGGUUGCAUAAAUUCCUUUGUUAACUUUUCCAAUCUAUUCUUUUGCUUCAUAAAAAAUUG
rnacentral:lncRNA from 1 species